ACUCUGGUAGCUUAAGUAAAGAGCAUAGCGUUGAAGGUGCUAAGGUGGGUGAGGCUUAGCCCCCGGGGUA
rnacentral:tRNA from 1 species